GAAUUGCGAUAAGUAAUGUGAAUUGCAGAAUUCAGUGAAUCAUCGAAUCUUUGAACGCACAUUGCGCCCGCCAGUAUUCUGGCGGGCAUGCCUGUUCGAGCGUCAUUACAACCCUCAGGCCCCCGGGCCUGGCGUUGGGGAUCGGCGGAAGCCCCCUGCGGGCACAACGCCGUCCCCCAAAUACAGUGGCGGUCCCGCCGCAGCUUCCAUUGCGUAGUAGCUAACACCUCGCAACUGGAGAGCGGCGCGGCCACGCCGUAAAACACCCAACUUCUGAAUGUUGACCUCGAAUCAGGUAGGAAUACCCGCUGAACUUAAGC
rnacentral:misc_RNA from 1 species